UGCACCUUAAAAGAUCAAAACUUUAUCAAUUUAUAUAACAACAUUUUCGCAAAAGAUGAUAAAUUUAUAUAUAAACAGAGACUUACAUAAAGUGGGUAUAUAAGGAGACGGUUCAAGAACAUGAAAAAUACAAAUUUCUGAGUUCCCAAAUGUUUUACAAGCCCAUUGAACCAAAGCAACAUUUUUAUUCACAGAUUUUCCAACUGCUAUAUACACUUUAGGCUCAUUUUGUUCUUCAACAAUUUCUCUCGUUUGAGGACUGAUGAUUUGGCUAGUUCUGUAAAACCCACGUCGAUAAGUGGCCAUAGAAGAAAACCCAGAAAGGGAAUUUGAUGAAGGAGUAAGAGGAGGAGGAGAAGGGGUUAACAACUCCAUUGUUAUUGAAUAUCAAGAACGAACUUGCUGCGACAGAGUUGAGUUAUUUCUUUUGUUCGUUUUUAACGUUUUUUGUGUAAUUUGAGGACUUUCUAGACUUUUUAUUGUUCGUGUCUGCAUUACACGACUUAAAU
rnacentral:lncRNA from 1 species